UUAGGUGCCUAUAUCGGCGGUGUCUACCUCUUCCCAUUCCGAACAGAGAAGUCAAGCCCGCCAGAGCCGAUGGUAUUGCCGUAACAGGUGGGAGAGUAGGUCGGUGCCUUUU
rfam:Sphingobacterium sp. ML3W, complete genome.